rnacentral:rRNA from 1 species
CCCUUAGAUGUUCUGGGCCGCACGCGCGCUACACUGAUGCAUUCAACGAGCCUAUCCUUGACCGACAGGUCCGGGUAAUCUUUGAAUCUGCAUCGUGACGGGGAUAGAUUAUUGCAAUUAUUAAUCUUCAACGAGGAAUGCCUAGUAGGCGCAAGUCAUCAGCUUGCGUCGAUUACGUCCCUGCCCUUUGUACACACCGCCCGUCGCCCCUACCGAUUGGGUGUGCUGGUGAAAUGUUCGGAUCGGCCGUUUGUCGCGGUUUCCGCGGCUCGUGGCUGAGAAGUUCAUUAAACCCUCCCACCGAGAGGAAGGAGAAGUCGUAACA